rnacentral:lncRNA from 1 species
AUGUCAAAGUCUCAUAUGACGGCUGACAAACGGGAUCCGGAGUUUGUAUUUUAUGAUGUUACCAAAGCAGCUCUUCAUAUUUACAAUGUGAAACCAGCAGUAUUUGACCUGUUUCCUCUCAGCAGAAUCGGAGCUUAUCUUGGAUUCUGUUACCUAGGCAAUUCUUAAAUUUUCUGUCCUGUACAAUGCAAUCCAGUCAUUUUCCUCUUCAGUCGUCAAGAAGAAAGUCAACUGAUCGUUCUUUUUUUGGAAUAGUCCACUACGCAAUUUCGGAGGAAUCGUAGUUUCUAAUUUGGUGUUUGGCGCAUCACAGUGGUCAUCAGCUUUGGUCGGAGGUCAGUACCAGAUAAGGGCAAUGUUUUGAAAGUAUUUGUAAUUUGAUACUCAAGUUUAGAGUUAGUAAUUCUGUAGGUUUAAAGCGUUUUUGUUAUUUUUUGUGAUUCUCAAGUUUGCUCAUUUCUUUCGAUAGAGAAGGUGUUUGUUUAGUUUAAGGUGUAAGGAAAGUGUUUUUUUUUCUUUAAUUUUGUUCCUUAAGCAUCCCCUCUCGAAGUUGUGGAUUGAAUGCAAAUUUCUCCAAAAUAUGGGCAUUAAUCACCACAAUUAGCCUCUUCAAUGCAAUCUCUCAUUUUCUUUGUGUAGUAACAAUAAAUACACUAAAAGUGACUUUGCAAGCACUUUCAAUCAACCGCUAUUCUCUCGAAGAGCAUUUUCGUCAGAAGAUUAUUUUUCAAAAUGAAGUCUAGAUACAGUGAAUUAUUAGCCCCUCAGAAUCAAUCGCAGCAUUUUAUAGCAACUUAAAAGAGGAGCAAGGUGUAAAAUUAAAAACCCCUCUUAAAAAGAGCGCAGAUGAUGUUUUAAGGCAUCUGAUUAUCUCCUUUUGCUUAUUUUUCAUCAAUCGUCAAAUAUGUCUUCCUAAGAAGUUAAUUCUUUUAUUUUUACAAAUGAAAUACAAAAGAGGUCUUUUUUAUACGUGGAGGAUUGUCCAUCAAAUGCUGUAGAAUAAGUAGAUAUCUCUUUGAAUUUUUUUAAACCUCGAUCAAUCAGAACAGGUAAAAAAUUGAAACUAGUCAAUUAGUUAUGGGUUCAAUCUUCAAAUAUUGAAGGGAAUACUCAGCGCUUGUCUUUUCAAUCCAAAGCAACUUAAUAAAAAGAAAUUGCUAAACCUAGGUAUUUAUAUUAUAUUCAAAUGAGGCUACUUGAUUAGGAAGUAUGCAAGAAAAAAAAAUUAAAUUAUAAAAAUCUCCUUUUAACUUUCAAAAAUUGUUCUAAGAAAUCUGUCAGAAAAUGGUUUAAUUUGUAAUGAAGUGGCCCCAGAGAGAAAAAAAUUUCAUAAGUGCUCUCUUAAUAUUAUGAAACUUGUAACAUCAAAAUACGCUCUAACCAUUAGUGUCUCCUUCAAAUAUCUUUCCAUAAUUUACUUUAAUUUUAAGCUGCUUGCUGAGUUUAGAUCUAUCAUUUUCUUUAUUUACAAAUUCUCAAAAAUUUAAUGAGCACAAAAAACUAAUAAAAAGACAAAUGAGAAACUUUUCCAUUAAUCAUGGACCUCUUUUUCACAAGUAACAAUUAAUGACAGAAGGGGAACUUCAUCAGUUGCGAGUGCUUCUCUCAGUUUUAUGGGUGUAUUAUGUGAUUGCCUUUUCCCUGUGAAUGGCUUUCAAGAUUUAUUCAACACGCCUUUCCAUGUUUUUUAACAUCCCCUCCCUUUAUAAUCCGUGUAAAAAAUUAACUUACCUACCCUUUCCUCGCAUUAUGAAGCAUUGAGUAGGUGGCAUUUCACUCCUAACAAAAACAGCUCAAUUGUUUAAAUUUUGAUUGUUAUGUAACCCUGUGCUUCAGCUCAACUCGUAAACUAAUUUCAAGCAACCCCUCUCCUCCCGCCCUUGAGCACCUUGCAUAAUAGUUGACCGUUUCGCUAGCUAUUUCGCUAUUAGUUAUUGUUAUAUAUUUUUAAGCAACCACAGGAGAAGGGACUUCAGUGCCUGGAACCAGAAUGUUCAGGUAUUAGAUCCAUUGCUUAGAGAACUGUUCUGUGAAAUU